GAUGAACGCUGGCGGCGUGCCUAAUACAUGCAAGUCGAGCGAAUGGAUUAAGAGCUUGCUCUUGUGAAGUUAGCGGCGGACGGGUGAGUAACACGUGGGUAACCUGCCCAUAAGACUGGGAUAACUCCGGGAAACCGGGGCUAAUACCGGAUAACAUUUUGAACCGCAUGGUUCGAAAUUGAAAGGCGGCUUCGGCUGUCACUUAUGGAUGGACCCGCGUCGCAUUAGCUAGUUGGUGAGGUAACGGCUCACCAAGGCAACGAUGCGUAGCCGACCUGAGAGGGUGAUCGGCCACACUGGGACUGAGACACGGCCCAGACUCCUACGGGAGGCAGCAGUAGGGAAUCUUCCGCAAUGGACGAAAGUCUGACGGAGCAACGCCGCGUGAGUGAUGAAGGCUUUCGGGUCGUGAAACUCUGCUGUUAGGGAAGAACAAGUGCUAGUUGAAUAAGCUGGCACCUUGACGGUACCUAACCAGAAAGCCACGGCUAACUACGUGCCAGCCGCCGCAGUAA
rnacentral:rRNA from 1 species